rnacentral:tRNA from 1 species
AGGCCUGUAGCACAAUUGGUAGUGCGGCGGCCUCCAAAGCCGAAGGUUGGGGGUUCGAGUCCCUCCAGGCCUGCCA